rnacentral:rRNA from 2 species
AAAUUGAAGAGUUUGAUCAUGGCUCAGAUUGAACGCUGGCGGCAGGCCUAACACAUGCAAGUCGAGCGGAAACGACACUAACAAUCCUUCGGGUGCGUUAAUGGGCGUCGAGCGGCGGACGGGUGAGUAAUGCCUAGGAAAUUGCCUUGAUGUGGGGGAUAACCAUUGGAAACGAUGGCUAAUACCGCAUAAUGCCUACGGGCCAAAGAGGGGGA